rnacentral:tRNA from 1 species
GCCGGGGUGGCGAAAUUGGUAGACGCACAGGACUUAAAAUCCUGAGUUCCGCAAGGGGCGUACCGGUUCGAUUCCGGUCCUCGGCACCA